rnacentral:lncRNA from 10 species
GUGCUCUCAUGGUGACUGGCCAAGGAGGAACCCCUCUGCACAGAGGUAAAAUUGCUUUGCUAAGAAUCCUUUGUUCGAGUGUUCAAUUUUCUUAGGAUUUUGAGAAUUACUCCUAACAACACCCUGUGCCUAAAAACUACAAAUGGGUUAGGAAGAUAACUCAUUUUGUCUAAUUUAGUCUCUGAAUUAGGAAGUUUCUUACUUGGGCUUACUUAGCUGGAAAAAGACCAGAAUCUCUCCCAAGUCACCUGGAAGGGCAGAGCUUCCAUGCAGGACUGCAUGUUUUUUUGGCAACUAAAAUGGUGUCAGGUCUGGGCCUGUCCUUUCCCUCACAGCAACCAAGUCCUCUCUACACACCUUCUCCAUGUG